UGGGUGAGUACUUCUGUGUGUGUAGACUGUGUUUUUGUGUAUGAAGACAGGUGCUUUGUAGUGUCAGGAGUGACGCUGUGUGCGACCUGUUCAUUCACCAGUUAAUGAGGAACGGAGCGUUGUGGCUGUUCUGAGACAUGUGUGGUGAGUAUUUUUUGGGGUGAGUACUCAGCUCUUGGAAUAUUCUGUUUAGUUGCUCAGGGGAAAUUUGUCGCCAGGUUAUGAUGCCGGUGGUGGUUUUUCUGAGUUCUGUAGCUGUGCAGCAUUGGUAAGUUGCUGUGGUUGUCCCUGUUAAGCUCCAGAGCGAACUCCCUUGGAGUCCGUUGGGGGUCGGUAGUGUGGUGAGAACGUGGUUUGGAGCUGUUGUCUCAGGAGCUGAACAUAAGAUGAAGACAGCAGAGGAAGCAGCGACUCUGGCUGAUGACUAUGUGCUAACACAUCGGGGUGACUACAGGGCUCAGGACUGUGGUAAGUAUCAGUCAGUAGGUAAGCAUAGAACGGACAAGUCUGUGUGCAGUCGGGCACAGAGGGAUCAGAAGAACAUCUCUCACUACUUCUGUAGAGGCAGAGGCCACUGGAAAGCUGAAUGUCCUGUAAAAAGUAAUGCUGAAGGUGGGCAGGUGGAGCCUGUUGCACUCACUGCUCCUGUUGUCGGUUCUCGCAGAUGUAAGGUUGAAUCUGCAGUAAACUAUGACAGUUUUUCUGGUGGCUGUUCAGCUACCUGGACGGUGUGUGGUCAGGAGGCAGAGUCGGGCCCUAAACAGACUGUGGUGAUACCUGAAUCUCUUAUCAGUUUCUCACAGUGACCUGGUAGCAGAACAACGAGCUGAUCCUUCCCUUGGUGCUUUGGUUGAUUCUGUGCUCUUGGAUAGGGAGAGCUCUGCACCAGGUUAUCUGGUAAACAACAACUUGUUAGUCCGGAAAUGGGUGCCAAAUCGGUAAGAUUUUAUUGGUGAUCCUGUUUUCCAGGUUGUUGGGCCUUCAGCGUUCCUAAGGUAGGUACUGCACGAACUGGUAAGUGAAUGCUGGCUACAGUUAUGUCUUUGUUUUACAGUCCUACUGUUUGGCAGAGCCCUGCUUUGUGAAAUGUGCUUGGUGAACCCAAUGUGUAGUUCUCCUGGUCCCUGUCUGUUUCUCUCCUAACAUUCUUAGUGUUCCUGCUGGGUGCAGGAUGGAGAUGGUGGGUUGCCUGGGGGGGGUCUGCAUAGAGUUGGUGUAUGAUGGACUGGACAUUCCUAUUUGAAGUAGACUGUAACCCGUAAGUAUAAAUGUCUGUAUAUAAGAACUAAGUAUGGAGUGUUUUGGAAAUUGUUGGCCAACUAUCAUGCCUAGUUUUUGUUGUGUUGUGUUGUGUGCUGCUGACGUUUUCUGAGUUUCCCAGGGGGAACCUGGUAAUGCUGAAGGUGGGCAGGUGGAGCCUGUUGCACUCACUCCUCCUGUUGUCGGUUCUCGCAGAUGUAAGGUUGAAUCUGCAGUAAACUAUGACAGUCUUUCUGGUGGCUGUUCAGCUGUCUGCACUCUAAAAAGUAAUUCUGUGGACCUUUGGUCAUAACUUAAAUAAAUAUAUUGUUGUGAAAUAAAAAAUCAAGUUCUGUAAUAGUUAGACUUUUUACUUGUAAAUGUUAUUUUAUUGAGCUUGGAUGACGUAGAAAUAAUGCCUUUUGAUUCAAUACACUACCAUCACCUCAUCAGAGUUUAAAAAUUUCAGUUUAUCAUGAAACAAUUUGAUUUUAAGUUCUGCUAAUGUAAAAUACAAUUUGAUGACGUGUAAACGGCCCAGAGUUUCUCUUUCCAGCCAUGUUUAAGGCCAGAGUGAGCACAUGGUGAGCAGCCGAAGCACAGCCGAAGCUCAUUGAAGCAUUUUGGUUAACGCUUUUGGAGCCAAGUUGUAACAAAUGGGGGCUCGUCCAAACAGUCCAACCAGCGUAAACAACGGUAGCUUUUCUGGUUAAUGAGGAACGGAGCGUUGUGGCUGUUCUGAGACAUGUGUGGUGAGUAUUUUUUGGGGUGAGUACUCAGCUCUUGGAAUAUUCUGUUUAGUUGCUCAGGGGAAAUUUGUCGCCAGGUUAUGAUGCCGGUGGUGGUUUUUCUGAGUUCUGUAGCUGUGCAGCAUUGGUAAGUUGCUGUGGUUGUCCCUGUUAAGCUCCAGAGCGAACUCUCUUGGAGUCCGUUGGGGGUCGGUAGUGUGGUGAGAACGUGGUUUGGAGCUGUUGUCUCAGGAGCUGAACAUAAGAUGAAGACAGCAGAGGAAGCAGCGACUCUGGCUGAUGACUAUGUGCUAACACAUCGGGGUGACUACAGGGCUCAGGACUGUGGUAAGUAUCAGUCAGUAGGUAAGCAUAGAACGGACAAGUCUGUGUGCAGUCGGGCACAGAGGGAUCAGAAGAACAUCUCUCACUACUUCUGUAGAGGCAGAGGCCACUGGAAAGCCGAAUGUCCUGUAAAAAGUAAUGCUGAAGGUGGGCAGGUGGAGCCUGUUGCACUCACUGCUCCUGUUGUCGGUUCUCGCAGAUGUAAGGUUGAAUCUGCAGUAAACUAUGACAGUUUUUCUGGUGGCUGUUCAGCUACUUGGACGGUGUGUGGUCAGGAGGCAGAGUCGGGCCCUAAACAGACUGUGGUGAUACCUGAAUCUCUUAUCAGUUUCUCACAGUGACCUGGUAGCAGAACAAUGAGCUGAUCCUUCCCUUGGUGCUUUGGUUGAUUCUGUGCUCUUGGAUGGGGAGAGCUCUGCACCAGGUUAUCUGGUAAACAACAACCUGUUAGUCCGGAAAUGGGUGCCAAAUCGGUAAGAUUUUAUUGGUGAUCCUGUUUUCCAGGUUGUUGGGCCUUCAGCGUUCCUAAGGUAGGUACUGCACGAACUGGUAAGUGAAUGCUGGCUACAGUUAUGUCUUUGUUUUACAGUCCUACUGUUUGGCAGAGCCCUGCUUUGUGAAAUGUGCUUGGUGAACCCAAUGUGUAGUUCUCCUGGUCCCUGUCUGUUUCUCUCCUAACAUUCUUAGUGUUCCUGCUGGGUGCAGGAUGGAGAUGGUGGGUUGCCUGGGGGGGUCUGCAUAGAGUUGGUGUAUGAUGGACUGGACAUUCCUAUUUGAAGUAGACUGUAACCCGUAAGUAUAAAUGUCUGUAUAUAAGAACUAAGUAUGGAGUAUUUUGGAAAUUGUUGGCCAACUAUCAUGCCUAGUUUUUGUUGUGUUGUGUGCUGCUGACGUUUUCUGUCCGAGUUCUGCGGGGUGGGCGCCCUGCAUCCUGGACGUGCCGGCUCCGGGGUGGGCGUGGGGGCUCAUGGCCCUUGCUUCCUGGUGGUGCGGCCUGGUCCUUCCUCCGGGGCAGGGUGCUGCGUGCGGCUGGCCGGUGGUGGGGCUGUGGCGUCUACCGGGGCGCUGCUCUAGCGCUGCGACUUCUUGGGGUUUCGGUGCUGGCCGGGCCGGUCGGGUUCGUGUGGGACCACCUUGGCCUCUCUCCUCAGGGCUCUGGGGGCCCUCUGCAUCAUUACUGGUGGUCUUACUACCUGUCUCCCCCGCUUCUCUGUCCUCAUGGGCCGGAUCCACACCAGACUGCCUCAUACUGUGCACUUCACAUACUUCACACAUCACUGUAUUUAGCUAUUCUUAGGCACAUAUAGGGACACGACAGUUAGGGCCCUGAGAGCAGGUGGGGGCGGGAACGAUGGGCUCUGUGGUGGGGUGGAUGGCAGGGCUCUACGGCCUUGUCUCUUCCCCAUCACCCUCUUGCUUGCCUCCCCUGCUCUCUAAUUUGUUUUUAAUGCACCACACACACUCACAGCUUGGGGGUAGGUCUGGGAUGGCUCGGGGAACUUGGGCCAGGGUAGGCUGCAGAGUAGCCAUCCUCUGUGGUCCUCUGGCCUGCCCCCUAGACGCCUCACCCAGCCUCCCCACUUUUAAUGCACCACAUGACACUCAGGGUUACACUAUCACGGUGCAGGGAUAAUGUCUCCAGUCUGGGAUCGGGAGACAUAUUAACAGGGAGUAAUGGGGGGAUUUCACUAAUAUGGCCUCGCUGGUGGGACCCGGCCCCCUUAUGGCUAUGGGGUGGCGAGGGGGGGACCAUCAUCUGUGUUGCUGUGGCUGGGGGGUCCCCAGGACCUGGGGGCUGUGGCCUGGGGGGGUUUUCUUGCGUGCCCGACAGGUCCAGGCUGGUGCGGUGGCUCUUGGUGGGCUGCAGGGGCUGGAUUGGCCGUCCUGGUGGGUGCUGUAGCUGUACUGCGGGCUGGUGGCAUGUGGUGGCUCUGUCCUGGUGGGUUGUCAGGGCGCAUUGUGGGGUGUGGGGGCCCUGGGUGUACUGCGCUCACCUGGGGCCUGGUGCGGGGGGUAUGCGGGGUGCCUCCCUGUCGGCGUCGCCGGGCCACACCACUCUGUCCAUUUUUACUCUCUGGACUCGCAUCGGGUCCCGGCUCCGAUAGUUGGGAAUAACACACCACCUUACAAUCUUUAAUUGCAAUAGCACUGCCUGUUAUUUUCUAUCCCUGUUCAUCCUGUUUGUCCUGUCCAGUCUUUGUUUCCCCCACACAUCACUGAGGUGUAGCACUGCCCUCCCUGACUCAUAAUGGGAAUUCUAAUAAAGAAUAUCUGCUUAGCUUUCAGGGAGGGCCGGUGACUGUCACACACAUGCACUAAAUACUAAAAUAUUUAGCUGCAAGACUAAAAUAUGCAUCAAUCUCAUACAAUGUUGACACCUCUUUUGUGGAGUUAAACAAUGAGAACAAAUGCAGACAAAAAAAAAAGAAAAAAAAGAAAUGUGCUUGGUGAACCCAAUGUGUAGUUCUCCUGGUCCCUGUCUGUUUCUCUCCUAACAUUCUUAGUGUUCCUGCUGGGUGCAGGAUGGAGAUGGUGGGUUGCCUGGGGGGGUCUGCAUAGAGUUGGUGUAUGAUGGACUGGACAUUCCUAUUUGAAGUAGACUGUAACCCGUAAGUAUGAAUGUCUGUAUAUAAGAACUAAGUAUGGAGUGUUUUGGAAAUUGUUGGCCAACUAUCAUGCCUAGUUGUUGUUGUGACUACAGGGCUCAGGACUGUGGUAAGUAUCAGUCAGUAGGUAAGCAUAGAACGGACAAGUCUGUGUGCAGUCGGGCACAGAGGGAUCAGAAGAACAUCUCUCACUACUUCUGUAGAGGCAGAGGCCACUGGAAAGCUGAAUGUCCUGUAAAAAGUAAUGCUGAAGGUGGGCAGGUGGAGCCUGUUGCACUCACUGCUCCUGUUGUCGGUUCUUGCAGAUGUAAGGUUGAAUCUGCAGUAAACUAUGACAGUUUUUCUGGUGGCUGUUCAGCUACUUGGACGGUGUGUGGUCAGGAGGCAGAGUCGGGCCCUAAACAGACUGUGGUGAUACCUGAAUCUCUUAUCAGUUUCUCACAGUGACCUGGUAGCAGAACAACGAGCUGAUCCUUCCCUUGGUGCUUUGGUUGAUUCUGUGCUCUUGGAUAGGGAGAGCUCUGCACCAGGUUAUCUGGUAAACAACAACCUGUUAGUCCGGAAAUGGGUGCCAAAUCGGUAAGAUUUUAUUGGUGAUCCUGUUUUCCAGGUUGUUGGGCCUUCAGCGUUCCUAAGGUAGGUACUGCACGAACUGGUAAGUGAAUGCUGGCUACAGUUAUGUCUUUGUUUUACAGUCCUACUGUUUGGCAGAGCCCUGCUUUGUGAAAUGUGCUUGGUGAACCCAAUGUGUAGUUCUCCUGGUCCCUGUCUGUUUCUCUCCUAACAUUCUUAGUGUUCCUGCUGGGUGCAGGAUGGAGAUGGUGGGUUGCCUGGGGGGGUCUGCAUAGAGUUGGUGUAUGAUGGACUGGACAUUCCUAUUUGAAGUAGACUGUGACCCGUAAGUAUAAAUGUCUGUAUAUAAGAACUAAGUAUGGAGUAUUUUGGAAAUUGUUGGCCAACUAUCAUGCCUAGUUUUGUUGUGUUGUGUGCUGCUGACGUUUUCUGUCCGAGUUCUGCGGGGUGGGCGCCCUGCAUCCUGGACGUGCCGGCUCCGGGGUGGGCGUGGGGGCUCAUGGCCCUUGCUUCCUGGUGGUGCGGCCUGGUCCUUCCUCCGGGGCAGGGUGCUGGAUGCGGCUGGCCGGUGGUGGGGCUGUGGCGUCUACCGGGGCGCUGCUCUAGCGCUGCGACAUCUUGGGGUUUCGGUGCUGGCCGGGCCGGUCGGGUUGGUGUGGGCCCACCUUGGCCUCUCUCCUCAGGGCUCUGGGGGCCCUCUGCAUCAUUGCUGGUGGUCUUACUCCCUGUCUCCCCCGCUGCUCUGUCCUCAUGGGCCGGAUCCACACCAGACUGCCUCAUACUGUGCACUUCACAUACUUCACACAUCACUGUAUUUAGCUAUUCUUAGGCACAUAUAGGGACACGACAGUUAGGGCCCUGAGAGCAGGUGGGGGCGGGAACGAUGGGCUCUGUGGUGGGGUGGAUGGCAGGGCUCUACGGCCUUGUCUCUUCCCCAUCACCCUCUUGCUUGCCUCCCCUGCUCUCUAAUUUGUUUUUAAUGCACCACACACACUCACAGCUUGGGGGUAGGUCUGGGAUGGCUCGGGGAACUUGGGCCAGGGUAGGCUGCAGAGUAGCCAUCCUCUGUGGUCCUCUGGCCUGCCCCCUAGACGCCUCACCCAGCCUCCCCACUUUUAAUGCACCACAUGACACUCAGGGUUACACUAUCACGGUGCAGGGAUAAUGUCUCCAGUCUGGGAUCGGGAGACAUAUUAAUAGGGAGUAAUGGGGGGAUUUCACUAAUAUGGCCUCGCUGGUGGGACCCGGCCCCCUUAUGGCUAUGGGGUGGCGAGGGGGGGACCAUCAUCUGUGUUGCUGUGGCUGGGGGGUCCCCAGGACCUGGGGGCUGUGGCCUGGGGGGGUUUUCUUGCGUGCCCGACAGGUCCAGGCUGGUGCGGUGGCUCUUGGUGGGCUGCAGGGGCUGGAUUGGCCGUCCUGGUGGGUGCUGUAGCUGUACUGCGGGCUGGUGGCAUGUGGUGACUCUGUCCUGGUGGGUUGUCAGGGCGCAUUGUGGGGUGUGGGGGCCCUGGGUGUACUGCGCUCACCUGGGGCCUGGUGCGGGGGGUAUGCGGGGUGCCUCCCUGUCGGCGUCGCCGGGCCCCACCACUCUGUCCAUUUUUACUCUCUGGACUCGCAUCGGGUCCCGGCUCCGAUAGUUGGGAAUAACACACCACCUUACAAUCUUUAAUUGCAAUAGCACUGCCUGUUAUUUUCUAUCCCUGUUCAUCCUGUUUGUCCUGUCCAGUCUUUGUUUCCCCCACACAUCACUGAGGUGUAGCACUGCCCUUCCUGACUCAUAAUGGGAAUUCUAAUAAAGAAUAUCUGCUUAGCUUUCAGGGAGGGCCGGUGACUGUCACACACAUGCACUAAAUACUAAAAUAUUUAGUUGCAAGACUAAAAUAUGCAUCAAUCUCAUACAAUGUUGACACCUCUUUUGUGGAGUUAAACAAUGAGAACAAAUGCAGACAAAAAAAAAAGAAAAAAAAGAAAUGUGCUUGGUGAACCCAAUGUGUAGUUCUCCUGGUCCCUGUCUGUUUCUCUCCUAACAUUCUUAGUGUUCCUGCUGGGUGCAGGAUGGAGAUGGUGGGUUGCCUGGGGGGGGUCUGCAUAGAGUUGGUGUAUGAUGGACUGGACAUUCCUAUUUGAAGUAGACUGUAACCCGUAAGUAUGAAUGUCUGUAUAUAAGAACUAAGUAUGGAGUAUUUUGGAAAUUGUUGGCCAACUAUCAUGCCUAGUUGUUGUGUUGUGUGCUGCUGACGUUUUCUGAGUUUCCCAGGGGGAACCUGGUAAUGCUGAAGGUGGGCAGGUGGAGCCUGUUGCACUCACUGCUCCUGUUGUCGGUUCUCGCAGAUGUAAGGUUGAAUCUGCAGUAAACUAUGACAGUUUUUCUGGUGGCUGUUCAGCUACUUGGACGGUGUGUGGUCAGGAGGCAGAGUCGGGCCCUAAACAGACUGUGGUGAUACCUGAAUCUCUUAUCAGUUUCUCACAGUGACCUGGUAGCAGAACAACGAGCUGAUCCUUCCCUUGGUGCUUUGGUUGAUUCUGUGCUCUUGGAUAGGGAGAGCUCUGCACCAGGUUAUCUGUUAAACAACAACCUGUUAGUCCGGAAAUGGGUGCCAAAUCGGUAAGAUUUUAUUGGUGAUCCUGUUUUCCAGGUUGUUGGGCCUUCAGCGUUCCUAAGGUAGGUACUGCACGAACUGGUAAGUGAAUGCUGGCUACAGUUAUGUCUUUGUUUUACAGUCCUACUGUUUGGCAGAGCCCUGCUUUGUGAAAUGUGCUUGGUGAACCCAAUGUGUAGUUCUCCUGGUCCCUGUCUGUUUCUCUCCUAACAUUCUUAGUGUUCCUGCUGGGUGCAGGAUGGAGAUGGUGGGUUGCCUGGGGGGGUCUGCAUAGAGUUGGUGUAUGAUGGACUGGACAUUCCUAUUUGAAGUAGACUGUAACCCGUAAGUAUAAAUGUCUGUAUAUAAGAACUAAGUAUGGAGUAUUUUGGAAAUUGUUGGCCAACUAUCAUGCCAAGUUGUUGUGUUGUGUGCUGCUGACGUUUUCUGUCUGACUUUCCCAGGGGGAACCUCAUCUUUAAGGGGGGGUGACGACCCUCCACCUGGACACCAGGUGUGCCUGUUCCAGUCGUCACCUGAUUGAGCCACACCUGUGAUCUAGUGGAUCAGCUGCAUUUAAUCUCUCCCACUUCCAUUCAAGCUGGUUCUCUGACAGGAGCUGCUGCUGUGUGGGGCUCCAGCAGCAUGAUUCUGGGUUUUGGUUUGGGUUUUUAAUGCCCAAUUGGUUGUUUUGCGUGGCAAUAAACUGUCUUUUAGUCACCACACCAUUGUUGUCUCCUGGUUUUGUUGCAGCUUUUGGAGCCAAGUUGUAACAAGUGGGGGCUCGUCCAAACAGUCCAACCAGCGUAAACAACGGUAGCUUUUCUGGGUGAGUACUGCUGUGUGUGUAGACUGUGUUUUUGUGUAUGAAGACAGGUGCUUUGUAGUGUCAGGAGUGACGCUGUGUGCGACCUGUUCAUUCACCAGUUAAUGAGGAACGGAGCGUUGUGGCUGUUCUGAGACAUGUGUGGUGAGUAUAUUUUGGGGUGAGUACUCAGCUCUUGGAAUAUUCUGUUUAGUUGCUCAGGGGAAAUUUGUCGCCAGGUUAUGAUGCCGGUGGUGGUUUUUCUGAGUUCUGUAGCUGUGCAGCAUUGGUAAGUUGCUGUGGUUGUGUCCCUGUUAAGCUCCAGAGCGAACUCCCUUGGAGUCCGUUGGGGGUCGGUAGUGUGGUGAGAACGUGGUUUGGAGCUGUUGUCUCAGGAGCUGAACAUAAGAUGAAGACAGCAGAGGAAGCAGCGACUCUGGCUGAUGACUAUGUGCUAACACAUCGGGGUGACUACAGGGCUCAGGACUGUGGUAAGUAUCAGUCAGUAGGUAAGCAUAGAACGGACAAGUCUGUGUGCAGUCGGGCACAGAGGGAUCAGAAGAACAUCUCUCACUACUUCUGUAGAGGCAGAGGCCACUGGAAAGCUGAAUGUCCUGUAAAAAGUAAUGCUGAAGGUGGGCAGGUGGAGCCUGUUGCACUCACUGCUCCUGUUGUCGGUUCUUGCAGAUGUAAGGUUGAAUCUGCAGUAAACUAUGACAGUUUUUCUGGUGGCUGUUCAGCUACUUGGACGGUGUGUGGUCAGGAGGCAGAGUCGGGCCCUAAACAGACUGUGGUGAUACCUGAAUCUCUUAUCAGUUUCUCACAGUGACCUGGUAGCAGAACAACGAGCUGAUCCUUCCCUUGGUGCUUUGGUUGAUUCUGUGCUCUUGGAUGGGGAGAGCUCUGCACCAGGUUAUCUGGUAAACAACAACCUGUUAGUCCGGAAAUGGGUGCCAAAUCGGUAAGAUUUUAUUGGUGAUCCUGUUUUCCAGGUUGUUGGGCCUUCAGCGUUCCUAAGGUAGGUACUGCACGAACUGGUAAGUGAAUGCUGGCUACAGUUAUGUCUUUGUUUUACAGUCCUACUGUUUGGCAGAGCCCUGCUUUGUGAAAUGUGCUUGGUGAACCCAAUGUGUAGUUCUCCUGGUCCCUGUCUGUUUCUCUCCUAACAUUCUUAGUGUUCCUGCUGGGUGCAGGAUGGAGAUGGUGGGUUGCCUGGGGGGGUCUGCAUAGAGUUGGUGUAUGAUGGACUGGACAUUCCUAUUUGAAGUAGACUGUAACCCGUAAGUAUAAAUGUCGGUAUAUAAGAACUAAGUAUGGAGUAUUUUGGAAAUUGUUGGCCAACUAUCAUGCCUAGUUUUGUUGUGUUGUGUGCUGCUGACGUUUUCUGUUUCCCAGAGGGAACCUCAUCUUUAAGGCGGGGUGACGAGCAUUGAGGCCGUCGUGCUGACCGCUAUGGCAGGGAGCAGCCUCAUCUCCGGGACGAGGAUCCUGGAUCGGUGCCAGGGCAGUGGAGGCCUCCAGAACGCCUCCUCUAGAAGCUUCAGGUGUGAAGCAGAGGUUGAGCCCUGGGAUGACAGCUGCUGAUCCGGGACUGUAACUGGAGAGGACGCCGGUCCAGCGGAGUGUUCAGCCGCGGAGGAAACCACAGGAGCUGAGCUCAGGACGACAGAGCCAUGAAACGAGGCGAGACGGAUCACUGGCGGCUGGGUGGAGAGCGGGAUGACGGCCGGAUGGACAGGAGGGAUCCCUGGAAGGCCACAGAGAGAGACAGGCAAUCCGCAUGGACUGCUCAUGGGGCCACCUCCAUAGACCUGUCCAGCAGAGCGUCUUUGUCCCUCAGUUCAUCGGAGAGCCGGCGAAUGUCUUCCAACAGUGACAACACAGACGGGCUCCUACAAAAAGUGGAACAGAGGACGGCGGAUGCUAAUCAAAAGGGAGAAAGG